rnacentral:lncRNA from 1 species
GGAAUCCAUGAGAGCAAUACAAUUAUUCCAUCGAUGAAUAAGAAACCAUGGGCGGAAGCCGCUUGUUACGAAGAUGAAGCACAGUUAAAGUAGAUUCACAUUUGAUCCACGGCAUAGUCCAACAUCCAAAAGAAGCAUGCUCAAUCGCCAAGAUAACAGCCAACAGUUCAGCAACAAAAGCCGUUUCAACAUGUAAUGGACAAGAGAAAUCCCCCAGAAAUUCUCCCUCACAGUUUCUGAACACAGCCCCACAAGCGAAAACAUGCAAAGAACCUUCAGCGAUUUUUGACUAUAAACGUAAGCAGAUUUUUAAUUUUA